rnacentral:rRNA from 1 species
UUGAACUGAAGAGUUUGAUCCUGGCUCAGAUUGAACGCUGGCGGCAUGCCUUACACAUGCAAGUCGAACGGCAGCACGGGUGCUUGCACCUGGUGGCGAGUGGCGAACGGGUGAGUAAUACAUCGGAACAUGUCCUGUAGUGGGGGAUAGCCCGGCGAAAGCCGGAUUAAUACCGCAUACGAUCUACGGAUGAAAGCGGGGGACCUUCGGG